rnacentral:misc_RNA from 1 species
AACGCAAAUUGCACUCUCUGGCAUUCCGGAGAGUAUGCCUGUUUGAGGGUCAGUAUAAUAAAAAUCGGUAGCGUUGCCAUUUUGGUAACGCUUCGGAGUUUGGGUUAUCUUAACUUUUUUUCUAAGUUUAAGAGGCUUAAAAUUGAUCUUUUUGCGCAUUUUUUAGACGUAUAUAAUAAUUUCUAUUCGUCUUCAUUAUGCCAAAUUUUUAGUAGACGUGAUCGUAUUUUACAUGAUUAUGUCUAUAGAUAGUUUCAUGAUUUGACCUCAAAUCAGGUAGGGAUACCCGCUGAACUUAA